rnacentral:rRNA from 1 species
AACGAACGCUGGCGGCAUGCCUAACACAUGCAAGUCGAACGAUUGCCUUCGGGUGAUGGUGGCGCACGGGUGCGUAACGCGUGGGAAUCUGCCCUUAGGUUCGGAAUAACAGCUGGAAACGGCUUCUAAUACCGGAGGAUAUCGCGAGAUCAAAGGUGUAUCUCCUGAGAAUGGGGCCGCGUUGGAUUGGGUAGGUGGUGGGGGAAAGGCCUGCCAAGCCGACGAUGCAUAGCUGGGCUGAGAACAUGAUCAGCGACGAUUGGACUGAGACACGGCCCAGACUCGUACGGAAGGCAGCAGUAGGUUGUAUUGGAGGAGGGGCGCAAGUGCGGUCAAGCAAUGUGGCGGAUGAGGUGAAGCGGCUAGGGUUGUAAAGCUCUCUUACCCGAGAAGAUAAUGACGGUACUGGGUAAAUAAGCCCCGGCUAACUACGUG